rnacentral:pre_miRNA from 1 species
GGCCCAAAUUUGAAGUGGAGAAGAUUAGAAGGAUUACCUGACCCUACUAAACCACUCUACUUCGGGUUUGUGCUC